UACGAAGGUCCCGAGCGUUGUUCGGAAUCACUGGGCGUAAAGGGAGCGUAGGCGGCGCGGUAAGUCAGAUGUGAAAUCCCGGGGCUCAACCCCGGAACUGCAUCCGAUACUGCCGUGCUAGAGGAUUGGAGAGGUGACUGGAAUUCUUGGUGUAGCAGUGAAAUGCGUGGAUAUCAAGAGGAACACUCGUGGCGAAAGCGAGUCACUGGACAACUCCUGACGCUGAGGCUCGAAGGCCAGGGGAGCGAAAGGGAUUAGAUACCCCUGUAGUCCUGGCAGUAAACGGUGCGCGCUUGGUGUGAGGGGAUUCGACCCCCCUCGUGCCGGAGCAAACGCGUUAAGCGCGCCGCCUGGGAAGUACGGUCGCAAGACUAAAACUCAAAGAAAUUGACGGGGACCCGCACAAGCGGUGGAGUAUGUGGCUUAAUUCGAUGCAACGCGAAGAACCUUACCUGGGCUUGACAUGCAUCUCUAAGCGCGUGAAAGCGCGUGACCCUUCGGGGGAUUUGCACAGGUGCUGCAUGGCCGUCGUCAGCUCGUGUCGUGAGAUGUUGGGUUAAGUCCCGCAACGAGCGCAACCCUUGUGAUCAGUUGCCAGCGCGUCAUGGCGGGAACUCUGAUCAGACUGCCCAGAUCAACUGGGAGGAAGGUGGGGACGACGUCAGGUCAGUAUGGCCCUUACGCCCAGGGCUGCACACGUACUACAAUGCCCAGUACAAUGGGAACCGAGGCCGCGAGGCGGAGGAAAUCCACAAAACUGGGCCCAGUUCGGAUUGGAGGCUGCAACUCGCCUCCAUGAAGUCGGAAUCGCUAGUAAUGGCGCAUCAGCUACGGCGCCGUGAAUACGUUCCCGGGUCU
rnacentral:rRNA from 1 species